rnacentral:rRNA from 1 species
GUUCCAGCAGCCGCGGUAAUACAGAGGGUGCGAGCGUUAAUCGGAAUUACUGGGCGUAAAGCGCACGUAGUCGGCUUGUCAAGUCGGGUGUGAAAUCCCCGGGCUCAACCUGGGAACUGCAUCCGAGACUGACUUGCUAGAGUAUGGGAGAGGGAAGCGGAAUUUCUGGUGUAGCAGUGAAAUGCGUAGAUAUCAGAAGGAACAUCAGUGGCGAAGGCGGCUUCCUGGACCAAUACUGACGAUCAGGUGCGAAAGCGUGGGGAGCAAACAGGAUUAGAUACCCGGGUAGUCC